CCCACCUUUUUUCCUCUUCUUCCACUCGGCCCGGCCGCCCCCUUCCUCCUCCUCCUCCACUACUUGUGGCUACCUCCUCUUCUUUCUCUUCCUCCAUCGCUAGACUCCCCACCACUGCCACUCAUCUCCCCAUCCCUAGGGCUAGCUGCCUCCUCUUUUCUCCUCCAUUGCUCAUGGCUACCCCUCUUCUUUCUCCUCCUCCAUCGCUUGAGCUUGCUGCUUGCC
rnacentral:lncRNA from 1 species